UACCUGAAGUCAGUCCAGGGUUAUGUGUGUAUAUAUACCUGAAGCCAGUCCAGGGUUAGGUGUGUAUAUAUAUAUAUACCUGAAGUCAGUCCAGGGUUAGGUGUGUAUAUAUACCUGAAGUCAGUCCAGGGUUAGGUGUGUAUAUAUACCUGAAGUCAGUCCAGGGUUAGGUGUGUAUAUAUACCUGAAGCCAGUCCAGGGUUAGGUGUGUAUAUAUAUAUACCUGAAGCCAGUCCAGGGUUAGGUGUGUAUAUAUAUAUAUACCUGAAGCCAGUCCAGGGUUAGGUGUGUAUAUAUACCUGAAGCCAGUCCAGGGUUAGGUGUGUAUAUAUACCUGAAGCCAGUCCAGGGUUAGGUGUGUAUAUAUAUAUACCUGAAGUCAGUCCAGGGUUAGGUGUGUAUAUAUACCUGAAGUCAGUCCAGGGUUAGGUGUGUAUAUAUACCUGAAGCCAGUCCAGGGUUAGGUGUGUAUAUAUACCUGAAGCCAGUCCAGGGUUAGGUGUGUAUAUAUACCUGAAGUCAGUCCAGGGUUAGGUGUGUAUAUAUAUAUAUACCUGAAGCCAGUCCAGGGUUAGGUGUGUAUAUAUAUAUAUACCUGAAGCCAGUCCAGGGUUAGGUGUGUAUAUAUACCUGAAGCCAGUCCAGGGUUAGGUGUGUAUAUAUACCUGAAGCCAGUCCAGGGUUAGGUGUGUAUAUAUACCUGAAGCCAGUCCAGGGUUAGGUGUGUAUAUAUACCUGAAGCCAGUCCAGGGUUAGGUGUGUAUAUAUACCUGAAGCCAGUCCAGGGUUAGGUGUGUAUAUAUACCUGAAGCCAGUCCAGGGUUAGGUGUGUAUAUAUACCUGAAGCCAGUCCAGGGUUAGGUGUGUAUAUAUACCUGAAGCCAGUCCAGGGUUAGGUGUGUAUAUAUACCUGAAGCCAGUCCAGGGUUAGGUGUGUAUAUAUACCUGAAGUCAGUCCAGGGUUAGGUGUGUAUAUAUACCUGAAGCCAGUCCAGGGUUAGGUGUGUAUAUAUACCUGAAGCCAGUCCAGGGUUAGGUGUGUAUAUAUACCUGAAGUCAGUCCAGGGUUAGGUGUGUAUAUAUACCUGAAGCCAGUCCAGGGUUAGGUGUGUAUAUAUAUAUAUAUAUACCUGAAGUCAGUCCAGGGUUAGGUGUGUAUAUAUAUAUAUAUAUACCUGAAGUCAGUCCAGGGUUAGGUGUGUAUAUAUACCUGAAGCCAGUCCAGGGUUAGGUGUGUAUAUAUACACCUGAAGUCAG